ensembl:lncRNA
GCCAAGGGUGAGUGUUCCGAAGCCAGCAGGUGCUGGACGAUAUGAGUGCCUGUGCACCUUUGCGCUCCGGAAGGCCCAGUGUAGGCUGAAGGUCCCUUCAGGGGCGCAAGCACCUGGAGUCCCAACAGGAGUGUGUGUGUUUGACUCUGGGUUACUGUGACAGGCGAGGGACAGAUUGAAUGGCUUUGGAUGGGUGUGGUGGUGUUCUGGAGCUGGUUCCUACAGUCAGAUGCUCAGAAAAAUUGAAACGUGUUACCACAACCGUUGAUCUGGAGCGCCUCAUCCUGCACUGGCUUGAAGCAAGGCUUCGGUUCCUGGCCAGAGAGCAAGGUCCAGUCCAGGAGCUUAAAGGACCUCAGUUUCCCAACCAGUGAUCAAACCCAUGCCCCCUGAAGUGGAAACACGGAGUCUUAACCACUGGACUGCCAGGAAAAUCCCAACAUUUAUUUUUAAAGAGAAUAUU